ACUGCUCAGUAACACGUGGAUAACCUGCCCUUGGGUCCGGCAUAACCCCGGGAAACUGGGGAUAAUUCCGGAUAACGCACAUAUGCUGGAAUGCUUUAUGCGUAAAAUGGAUUCGUCUGCCCAAGGAUGGGUCUGCGGCCUAUCAGGUAGUAGUGGGUGUAAUGUACCUACUAGCCUACGACGGGUACGGGUUGUGAGAGCAAGAGCCCGGAGAUGGAUUCUGAGACAUGAAUCCAGGCCCUACGGGGCGCAGCAGGCGCGAAAACUUUACAAUGCGGGAAACCGUGAUAAGGGGACACCGAGUGCCAGCAUCCUAUGCUGGCUGUCCGGGUGUGUAAAAUACACCUGUUAGCAAGGGCCGGGCAAGACCGGUGCCAGCCGCCGCGGUAACACCGGCGGCCCGAGUGGUGAUCGUGAUUAUUGGGUCUAAAGGGUCCGUAGCCGGUUUGGUCAGUCCUCCGGGAAAUCUGACAGCUUAACUGUUAGGCUUUCGGAGGAUACUGCCAGACUUGGAACCGGGAGAGGUAAGAGGUACUACAGGGGUAGGAGUGAAAUCUUGUAAUCCCUGUGGGACCACCUGUGGCGAAGGCGUCUUACCAGAACGGGUUCGACGGUGAGGGACGAAAGCUGGGGGCACGAACCGGAUUAGAUACCCGGGUAGUCCCAGCCGUAAACGAUGCUCGCUAGGUGUCAGGCAUGGCGCGACCGUGUCUGGUGCCGCAGGGAAGCCGUGAAGCGAGCCACCUGGGAAGUACGGCCGCAAGGCUGAAACUUAAAGGAAUUGGCGGGGGAGCAC
rnacentral:rRNA from 1 species